rnacentral:tRNA from 1 species
GGAAAGAUGGCCAAGCCAUUCAAGCUUAGCAUUGGAACUGCUAUGUAGGCUUCUGCUUACCGAAGGUUCAAAUCCCUCUCUUUCCG